GUGGGGGUGGGGGGUGGGGGGGGUGACGAAUAGCUGAGAGUGGGAAAUGAUUGAGUUGAUUUGAUCAGUUGUAUUCUGCUUGUAAUGUGCCUGGUCAUUCUAGCCAGGUGCCAAUAUUAAUUAAAAAAUUAACGGCAAUUAACUGUACGUGUGUCAUGGUUUAGUAUUCAACUCACUCAUCUGUAUGCGCUGUCUCAGUGUUGCACCACGAUGACUCGUUGAUAGACAGCAGAACUCUCGUCUGCAGGGAAAUACUGUAUAUUCUAGCUGUAUUCAAGUGGUGCUAAGCAUGUAUGAGUCAGAGUCACAGUUUGGCCCCUUAGCUAGAAAUCGUACUUUGUCAGGUAAAUUAAACGUUUGAUUGUCCAAAAACCAAAACGAGCCCGUAGCAUCUACAAAUUAGACGUGAACAUAGAAUUGUAAAUUGCCGAUUUUUGCAAUCUAGCUAUUUCCCCAUAAAGUUAAAUUAGGCCGUUUCAGUCUAUUAUUUCCCAGUGUAUUUCCAGCUAAUUCCAGAUAUUUGAAUAGGACCAGUGAUAAAUACGUUUUAUUAGAUUGGAUCUUAUCGUUAUAAGCGCUAAUAUUUUUUUGAUCUUGUAAGAUGUAAUUGACGUAAAAAAAAUAUCAAUGAUUGCAGUAACUGUGUUGUUAUUAUCCCUAUUGUGUUUACAGAAAAAGGCAACACGUAUUUCGUUUUCUUUUCCUGGUUGUACGUACAUACGUAUCACGUACGUUUCAUGCGGUCUUCUUCUUCUUUUCAGUGAUUGAACCCAUGUGCUGUGUAUCAUUUACAGCGUUACUAUUCUGACCAUUCAUUGCCAUAAUAAUAUCAGUUACAUCAGCACUUGUCAUUUGUUCUCCUGGGUGAUAAUAUAUAGGAUAAAUAAUUAAAAAAUAAUUGUUGAAUGCAUCGGGAAAUGUCCUAAAAAAAAGCGAGAGUUUAAAUUCAAAAUCUUGCUCGUUAUGAAACGUGUUGCCCUUGAAUGAGAAUUAUUGAGCUACGAGAACAAAAGUAAAGGGCCAAUGUUUUUUUUCUAUUUUUUUCUAUUUAUUUUUGGCGACAAUUGUCUUUCAACAAAGAGAAUAGUAUAUAGUCACUCAACCCUCUGUAUUAGGGCGUUCCCUUAGGCAUUAUGUUCUUUAUUGUCUGUUUGAAUUCUACAGUCCCGAAGCAGACAUUGGUUAACUAUAGACUGAAAACAAGUCCCAGACAGACUGGAUAUGUACUCACAUGGCUGUGUGUGUGUGACUGAUUUAGCAGAAACACCUCCACAUUUUUUUGUAAAAUUGAAUGAAAAAAAAAAAAGAAAAAUAAUAAAGUCAACAAUCAUAGGGUCAUCUUUGCUUUGUAACGAUGGUUGCCAUUUAACAUCCACUACCAGACAUUGUUUUUCCGACCCAGAUCAAAGGCCUAGGUCUCCCAGGUGAUGAUGCCACUUCCUGGGGGUGUCACUUCCUGGUGAUGACAUUUCCAUCAAAUUUUUUCAUAUGAUACAAACCACAAAGUUAAACAGAUUUAAGUCUGGAUCAAAAGUUUAACCUGACUAGAUAAUCAUUAUACUCAGCCCGCAGAAAGAAAACUACUUGUCGAGCGAUGAUAAGAGUAAUCACACUUUAAGAGUUCAUGGAUACUUGAUAGUACACUUUAAGUUUGGUUGAUUGAUGAAAGGGAUUUCUUCAGUCUAGCAUCUAGACACCAUGAAUGGUGACACAUGUCAAUCAAUCAAGUUACGUAUGGUUGAGUUACUCUCUCUUCCUGUGGUUUAGUUACUCUCUCUUCCUAUGGUUUAGUUACUCUCUCUUCCUAUGGUUUAGUUACUCUCUCUUCCUAUUGUUUAGUUACACUCUCCUGUGGUUUAGUUACUCUCUCUUCCUGUGGUUUAGUUACUCUCUCUUCCUGUGGUUUAGUUACUCUCUCUUCCUAUUGUUUAGUUACUCUCUCUUCCUGUGGUUUAGUUACUCUCUCUUCCUGUGGUUUAGUUACUCUCUCUUCCUAUUGUUUAGUUACUCUCUCUUCCUAUUGUUUAGUUACUCUCUCUUCCUGUGGUUUAGUUACUCUCUCUUCCUGUGGUUUAGUUACUCUCUCUUCCUAUUGUUUAGUUACUCUCUCUUCCUAUGGUUUAGUUACUCUCUCUUCAUAUGGUUGAGUUAUUCUCUCUUCCUGUGGUUUAGUUACUCUCUCUUCAUAUGGUUGAGUUAUUCUCUCUUC
ensembl:lncRNA